AAAUACAUAAAAUUAUGUCAAUUAAGACAGAGAGAUGGGUCUUUCACCUUGCUAUGAAUCUAGACAAAGACUGGGACUACUUUUACUAAUACCAAGUGGCAGAAGUGAUCCUGCUACAGCUUCCAGGCCCAGACAAGGGGAUCUUCAGGUUCUUCUUUCAUGGAACACUUCUUCUUGAAAGUCUGAAAGGCUGUGUAAUAAGUUCUAUUCUGCUGCUCGUAAGAUCGCAUAGAAAAAUUCUGCAAAUAAUUGACAGAGAAAGCAGCUCAACUGAUCCCAGCCUCCAGGUAUCCAUACCAAUGUGGGAGACAUAUGAGUAAAGCCUCUUUGGAACUUCCGGCCUAGCCAAGCUACCAGCUAAAAACGACCAGGUCCCUUCAGUAAAGCAUGUGGAGCAGACAAUUAGCCCGCUGGGAUGAAAGAAAACCAGAGGUGCUAAGAGGGUCCUUAUCAUCGAGGAUGGUGUACAACAACGGUCCCCAACCAUUUUGGCAUCAUGGACAGGCUUCCUGGAAGACAAUUUUUUCACGAGUCUGGGGGCAAUGUUUUGGAAUGAAACUUCCUCCUCAGACUGAGGCAGGAAAACAGGGUCUGGAGGCAAGAAACAGAAGGCCAACUCACACGUCAGCUAUCACAGGAAAUGUCCUCUCCAGAGGGCGUACACCAAUUAACUAAUGGAAACCUCUAGAGGGUAUUUAAACCCCCACAAAUAUGGUAAAGGGGAUCUUGAGCCCAUAUACUCGGGCCCACUCCCACCCUGUGGAAUAUACUUUCAUUUUCAAUAAAUAUCUAUUUUUG
rnacentral:lncRNA from 1 species